CGAUGACAUUAGCUGCAGAAUAAGCACCGGCUAACUCUGUGCCAGCAGCCGCGGUAAUACAGAGGGUGCAAGCGUUAAUCGGAAUUACUGGGCGUAAAGGGAGCGUAGGUGGCUCUAUAAGUCAGAUGUGAAAUCCCCGGGCUUAACCUGGGAACUGCAUCUGAAACUGUAGAGCUAGAGUAUGUGAGAGGGAGGUAGAAUUUCAGGUGUAGCGGUGAAAUGCGUAGAGAUCUGAAGGAAUACCGAUGGCGAAGGCAGCCUCCUGGCAUAAUACUGACACUGAGGCUCGAAAGCGUGGGUAGCAAACAGGAUUAGAUACCCUGGUAGUCCACGCCGUAAACGAUGUCUACUAGUCGUUGGGUCCCUUGAGGACUUAGUGACGCAGCUAACGCAAUAAGUAGACCGCCUGGGGAGUACGGCCGCAAGGUUAAAACUCAAAUGAAUUGACGGGGGCCCGCACAAGCGGUGGAGCAUGUGGUUUAAUUCGAUGCAACGCGAAGAACCUUACCUGGUCUUGACAUAUCUAGAAUCCUGCAGAGAUGCGGGAGUGCCUUCGGGAAUUAGAAUACAGGUGCUGCAUGGCUGUCGUCAGCUCGUGUCGUGAGAUGUUGGGUUAAGUCCCGCAACGAGCGCAACCCUUGUCCUUAGUUACCAGCGGGUUAAGCCGGGAACUCUAAGGAUACUGCCAGUGACAAACUGGAGGAAGGCGGGGACGACGUCAAGUCAUCAUGGCCCUUACGACCAGGGCUACACACGUGCUACAAUGGUAGGUACAGAGGGCAGCUACACAGCGAUGUGAU
rnacentral:rRNA from 1 species